rnacentral:rRNA from 1 species
GAUGAACGCUGGCGGCGUGCCUAAUACAUGCAAGUCGAGCGAACAGACGAGGAGCUUGCUCCUCUGACGUUAGCGGCGGACGGGUGAGUAACACGUGGAUAACCUACCUAUAAGACUGGGAUAACUUCGGGAAACCGGAGCUAAUACCGGAUAAUAUAUUGAACCGCAUGGUUCAAUAGUGAAAGACGGUUUUGCUGUCACUUAUAGAUGGAUCCGCGCCGCAUUAGCUAGUUGGUAAGGUAACGGCUUACCAAGGCAACGAUGCGUAGCCGACCUGAGAGGGUGAUCGGCCACACUGGAACUGAGACACGGUCCAGACUCCUACGGGAGGCAGCAGUAGGGAAUCUUCCGCAAUGGGCGAAAGCCUGACGGAGCAACGCCGCGUGAGUGAUGAAGGUCUUCGGAUCGUAAAACUCUGUUAUUAGGGAAGAACAAAUGUGUAAGUAACCAUGCACGUCUUGACGGUACCUAAGCAGAAAGCCACGGCUAACUACGU